GAUGAAGAACGUAGCGAAAUGCGAUAAGUAGUGUGAAUUGCAGAAUUCAGUGAAUCAUCGAAUCUUUGAACGCACAUUGCGCCCCUUGGUAUUCCAUGGGGCAUGCCUGUUCGAGCGUCAUUUGUACCUUCAAGCUUUGCUUGGUGUUGGGUGUUUGUCUCGCCUCUGCGUGUAGACUCGCCUUAAAACAAUUGGCAGCCGGCGUAUUGAUUUCGGAGCGCAGUACAUCUCGCGCUUUGCACUCAUAACGACGACGUCCAAAAGUACAUUUUUACACUCUUGACCUCGGAUCAGGUAGGGAUACCCGCUGAACUUAAGCAUAUCAAUAAGCGGAGGAA
rnacentral:misc_RNA from 1 species